UGCUAUUUGGCUGUGUUGGAGCUGUCCUGCCCAAUCACUCUGGUCCCUGUCUUGGACUGCGUGCACAUAGAGGGUUGUCUGGGUCUAGAAUACCUGCCUCCUAUCCAGGUCCCAGUUCCAGAGGCCUAGGACCCACGCUCAUGGUGAGAUGCCUUCUGUCUCUGGAUAUCGGGAGCUCAUGGUGGGAUGUCUUCCGGCUCUGACUAUCGGGGCUUGCCUGCCAUCCACCCAGGAAGUGAUAACUCUCAUUCUCUGCUGGUAAGGUUGAUGAGAAGACCCACAGGGCCUUCUGGGUGACUGAUAUCGCCCCAGCCUACUCCGCCGUAACUUCCUGUGGGGGCAGGGCCUCUCACCCACUCUCAGCAGCCUGCCAAGUGGUUUGCUGGGGAGGAAAUUUAGGAGAGUAGGUGCCAGGUCCUCAGGAACCUCCUAGCCAUCCCUCAGACCUCAGGAACAUAACAGGUCUAAACAACAGGUCUAAACACAGGCAAGAUGUACAGGGGACCAUGUUGUCUGUCUCUUGGAGACUAGACAGAACCAGCAGGAGCUGGAGGAAGUAUGGAGAGGGGAAGUAAAGAAAUAUCUUCUUUGGAACCAAACAAUUAGGCCUGAGUCACUGUGACAAGGUUAUGAUGAGUGGAAGCAAAAAUGGCCUAGAAGAGCCAGGGAGAGCUGUCAUGACUGCUCUAAACUAGAUAUAGAGGAUCACAAGGACUCACUGAUCUCCUCCACGAUCUUCAGAAGCACCCCACCAAUGUGUGACUCCCCCGUGACUCGGAGCGUGACAGACUGGGCCUCAGGGUCCUCCUCGCCCACAAACACCCUCAGCUCCCAGGAAGAGUCGAUAUAGUCUCCGGAGGCUGUCUUCAUGCCCGCCAUCGCUGCGGCCGUUUCUGCUGAGACAAGAUCAAGAUGUCAGCUCCUCCUGUACCAUGUCUACCCGUACAAUGCCAUGCCUCCUGCUAUCAUGAUAAUGGACUAAACCUCUGAAACUGUAAGCCAGCCCCAAUUAAAAAGCUGCCCAGGUCGUGAUGUCUCUUCACAGCAAUAUAAG